AAAAAAGAGGUCUUCCUGACUGCUUGAGGUUAUUAGAAGUCCUAGGGAACCUUUCACAAGAUUUGGGCACAAGCAGUGUCCUUGCAAAAUUCCAGUUUGGAGAACUACAUUCUGUCUUCAUCAUGGAGUUUUGAUUAGAUCAGCAAAUUGAGGCACAAAGCAGUGACGUGACUGGUGCUUAGCUACACAGCUGGUGGCAGAGCUCCUGAGCCCCAGUCCAGAGUCCUACCCAUUGGGAUACAUUGCCUCUCUAAAUGGCAGCGAAGUCGUAAGUCCUCUGAAGCAACUAUCUGCAAAUUAUAAUGCUUCAUUGCAGAAGCAAGUAACAGGGUAUGAGUUAUGAAGAACAAAGUUCUUCUUGCACAAGCUUCAAUAAUUCCUAAUUCUGGGAAAGAAAAUAGCCAAUAACUUGUGAAAGGUACUGUGAAUAAAUGUGUUUAAGACAGUAUAAUAUGCCUUUAAAUUGUGAUUGGCUAUUCAGGAUCCUCUUCAAGGCAAAGAACUAUGAAUAACUGAUAGUCUAUCUUAGGUCAAUUAUUGUGUAAGGUACACUGAAAAAACAUGCAACACAGCUCA